rnacentral:rRNA from 1 species
GAUGAACGCUGGCGGCGUGCCUAAUACAUGCAAGUCGAGCGAACGGACGAGAAGCUUGCUUCUCUGAUGUUAGCGGCGGACGGGUGAGUAACACGUGGAUAACCUACCUAUAAGACUGGGAUAACUUCGGGAAACCGGAGCUAAUACCGGAUAAUAUUUUGAACCGCAUGGUUCAAAAGUGAAAGACGGUCUUGCUGUCACUUAUAGAUGGAUCCGCGCUGCAUUAGCUAGUUGGUAAGGUAACGGCUUACCAAGGCAACGAUGCAUAGCCGACCUGAGAGGGUGAUCGGCCACACUGGAACUGAGACACGGUCCAGACUCCUACGGGAGGCAGCAGUAGGGAAUCUUCCGCAAUGGGCGAAAGCCUGACGGAGCAACGCCGCGUGAGUGAUGAAGGUCUUCGGAUCGUAAAACUCUGUUAUUAGGGAAGAACAUAUGUGUAAGUAACUGUGCACAUCUUGACGGUACCUAAUCAGAAAGCCACGGCUAACUACGUGCCAGCAGCCGCGGUAAUACGUAGGUGGCAAGCGUUAUCCGGAAUUAUUGGGCGUAAAGCGCGCGUAGGCGGUUUUUUAAGUCUGAUGUGAAAGCCCGCGGCUCAACCGUGGAGGGUCAUUGGAAACUGGAAAACUUGAGUGCAGAAGAGGAAAGUGGAAUUCCAUGUGUAGCGGUGAAAUGCGCAGAGAUAUGGAGGAACACCAGUGGCGAAGGCGACUUUCUGGUCUGUAACUGACGCUGAUGUGCGAAAGCGUGGGGAUCAAACAGGAUUAGAUACCCUGGUAGUCCACGCCGUAAACGAUGAGUGCUAAGUGUUAGGGGGUUUCCGCCCCUUAGUGCUGCAGCUAACGCAUUAAGCACUCCGCCUGGGGAGUACGACCGCAAGGUUGAAACUCAAAGGAAUUGACGGGGACCCGCACAAGCGGUGGAGCAUGUGGUUUAAUUCGAAGCAACGCGAAGAACCUUACCAAAUCUUGACAUCCUUUGACAACUCUAGAGAUAGAGCUUUCCCCUUCGGGGGACAAAGUGACAGGUGGUGCAUGGUUGUCGUCAGCUCGUGUCGUGAGAUGUUGGGUUAAGUCCCGCAACGAGCGCAACCCUUAAGCUUAGUUGCCAUCAUUAAGUUGGGCACUCUAAGUUGACUGCCGGUAACAAACCGGAGGAAGGUGGGGAUGACGUCAAAUCAUCAUGCCCCUUAUGAUUUGGGCUACACACGUGCUACAAUGGACAAUACAAAGGGCAGCGAAACCGUGAGGUCAAGCAAAUCCCAUAAAGUUGUUCUCAGUUCGGAUUGUAGUCUGCAACUCGACUACAUGAAGCUGGAAUCGCUAGUAAUCGUAGAUCAGCAUGCUACGGUGAAUACGUUCCCGGGUCU